rnacentral:lncRNA from 10 species
CCUUUGACCCGAUGCUGUCAGAGAGCGUGCAUGAAGAAGAAAGUUAAUGGUAUUUCCAUUUAUAUAAGAAGCGCCUAAGAAAUGCCUGUGACGUUCGUGAACUAGUGAUUGUGAAUUCCAAAUUUGAUGCCAACUUUAUGUGUAAAGAAGCUAACUCCUGCCAACAUCGUGGCUGAAUGAACAGCUGGGACUAUGCUUAACCCAUUCCCAGCUUAUAAAAGCCCCAUGGCAGCUGCAGUGAAGCAUCAGGUGAGUCUGAUAUGGGCUGUCUGUUCCCUCGGGGAUUUGAAUCUUGCCUGUCCUUUCCAAGUGGAGUCUUGUGCCUAAGUGCUAGAGCCCACUCCUUCCUCCCCACUGAUUCCCUUCUUUCCAUUUCUGCCAUUUCCCUUCUUCUUUUAAUAAAACUUGGACAUUUUCUGGA